GAGAACUGUGCCUGAACACUUAAGGACCACUUUGAUAGAGUGAUUUAUAGGGGUUAAAGUCCCCUCAGUUCUUA
rnacentral:tRNA from 1 species